GAUGAACGCUGGCGGCGUGCCUAAUACAUGCAAGUCGAGCGAACGGACGAGAAGCUUGCUUCUCUGAUGUUAUCGGCGGACGGGUGAGUAACACGUGGAUAACCUACCUAUAAGACUGGGAUAACUUCGGGAAACCGGAGCUAAUACCGGAUGAUAUUUUGAACCGCAUGGUUCAAAAGUGAAAGACGGUCUUGCUGUCACUUAUAGAUGGAUCCGCGCUGCAUUAGCUAGUUGGUAAGGUAACGGCUUACCAAGGCAACGAUGCAUAGCCGACCUGAGAGGGUGAUCGGCCACACUGGAACUGAGACACGGUCCAGACUCCUACGGGAGGCAGCAGUAGGGAAUCUUCCGCAAUGGGCGAAAGCCUGACGGAGCAGCGCCGCGUGAGUGAUGAAGGUCUUCGGAUCGUAAAACUCUGUUAUUAGGGAAGAACAUAUGUGUAAGUAACUGUGCACAUCUUGACGGUACCUAAUCAGAAAGCCACGGCUAACUACGUG
rnacentral:rRNA from 1 species